AUACGUCGGGUGCAAGCGUUAAUCGGAAUUACUGGGCGUAAAGCGUGCGCAGGCGGUUUUUUAAGACAGAGGUGAAAUCCCCGGGCUCAACCUGGGAACUGCCUUUGUGACUGGAAGGCUAGAGUACGGCAGAGGGGGCUGGAAUUCCGCGUGUAGCAGUGAAAUGCGUAGAUAGGCGGAGGAAUACCGAUGGCGAAGGCAAUCCCCGGGGCCUUUGCGACCCUCGAUGCACGAAAGCGGGGGCAGCAAAUAUGAUUGGAACCCCUGUUAUUCAACGCCCUAAACGAUGUCAACUGGUCGUUGGGUCUUCAUUGACUCAGUAACGAAGCUAACGUGUGAAGUUGCCCGCCUGGGGAGUACGGCCGCAAGGUGGAUACUCAAAUGAAUUGAGGUGG
rnacentral:rRNA from 1 species